UUUGUCGUCAGCACGUGCAGUAAGGUGUUGAGUUAUGUCCCACAAGGAGCAUAAUCCUCAUGUUUAGUUGCCAACAUUUAUUUUGGAACUCUAAGAAGGCUGCCGGUAAAACCAGAGGAAGGUGAGGACGGCGUCAAGUCAU
rfam:Glycine soja cultivar W05 scaffold2038_4, whole genome shotgun sequence.